UCUUCCAAAAUCUGAGUAAAUCUGACUGUAUGGAAGAUUAAGACUAAAUGAGAUCAUAAACUCAUGUUUACAAAGUGCACUGAGGGAAUAAAUCAAGCGAGGGACGUCUGGAGGACCAGAGGAGCUCCAGAGGAGCACACGGUGGUCUCCUCAUGGUCCUCUGGACGUCUAUGAGAAACCGACUGUGCUUCUCUUUGGGGAUGUGAUGACAUCAGAAUGUGAUGACUCGGGCGUCUGAUUCUGGAACUUGGAUGCUUCUAAAGUUUAGAUUCUAAACCAAACAUUUCAUUCCAGGAUUCACUUCAACAAGACCAGGUUGUGUCUGUCAGGUCUAUCGGGGGGAACUGGCGGGUUUAACCUCUGCUGGGCUUCAGUCUACUCCAAAAAGCAUGUACGGGACAGUUCUUUGAUCACCGCUACGCUAGAUGAUCCUCCGUGGGCUGCGGACAAUGUUCCACACCAUGGCCAGAAGAGACGGCGUGCGGGUCCCCGGAGGCCUACUUCCUGCUCUCUACUUCAAUCUGGAAGGCGCUCUCACGCGCGCUGACAGACAAGUACAGUCUCUGACUCACCUGCAGCAGGCUUCAGUCAGUGAAAAGGCCUCCGCCUGCAGCCGGCUGGAGCUCCAAGAGCGAAAAGAGGAGGAAUCCGCAGCCGAAAUCGCCCGUCUCAAGGAGAGCCUCAAACUGAAGGCGGAGGAGUUGGAAGCGGCCCAGCGGAGGAGCCAGCGGGAAUGCGAGGAGAAGGAGGUCGGGAGGCGUAGGACCCAUGUGCCGGAUGCUAGGUUCAGAGCUCUGGUUCAGGUCACAACGGAACUGAACCAGAGAAACCAGGUCUGGAAACAGAGGGAGCAGGAGGUCACGGACGAGAUGGAGGACCUCGAGGCAAAGUUUAGGGAGAACCUUGCUGAGACAGAAGGAGGCCUGCGUGCGAGCUGCAGAGCUCUGGUUCGAGUCACAGGGGGCCUGAAACAGAAAGUCUGUGGCUGGAAGCGAAAGGAGCAGGAGAUGGAGGGCGAGAGGGAGGAACUCGAGGUGAGCGCUGAGAGGGAACAGAGCCUGAAGACCUUAACGGUCCACAAGAAGAAGGUCAGGCAGAGGGAGGCAGAAGUCCCGAACAGAGACAUUUUACAUCGCAGCGAAGCCGGAGCAGGUGGAGGCCACUGGCUUGUACCUCUUCCUCCCUGCCCUGCCUCCAUCUUUUUUGGAAGGGUUUUGCCCAUCGUCACAUUCAUCUAUUGGCUAAAUAUGUAGUGAAUUGUUCGUCUCCUUCUGCCUCCAACAUUUAGUCUGUUUGUUUUCUCAUUUAAAUACAUGGAGGAAUCUACACGUGCAGAUCUGGUGUUGACCACAGGGGGCGCAUUGAUGUGAGGGUGCACGCAGUCAGUUCCCUUUAAAGACAUUAUCUUCAGGCGAAUUAACCGAGUGGAAGGAAACCAAAAGAGGGAGAAAAACAUCAAAUGUUUGCUAACAUUAACAAAAUACACUACUUAUCACACAAUACCAACUGUACUGGAAGUGUUUUUAUUCAGGAGAGAAUAAAAACUGGAGAGAUGUGCUCUACU